GACAUAAUGGAAGCAGAUGGAGCUGACGUAUCUGGCACGUAUUCAGUCGUCUGCCGUUAGCAAUCGCUGGGCUUCAUUCCGCAAGGUUGAAGUCGGGUGUUGUUGUUGCGGUCAGGUGAUGCAGUUGCGUGCGGAGUGCGCCGAGUGGGUCGACUUCGCUGUUGGAAGCGGGCGUAGAGGACUUGGGCUUCGGCUCGUGAACCCUGUGCUCGUGGACAAUGGGUGAGGUUGGCUCUUUCUGGAAUUGCAGGUGUUUUCGCGAUUGACGGCUAUCGUGCGGAUGGCUUGCGUUUGGCACAUGUGUCCGAUGCUUGUUGUUCGUGCGGCGGCUGUUUGUUGCCCUGGCAUUCAUCCCGGUGUACAGUCGGUCACCCAUUUGACCCGUCUUGAAACACGGACCAAGGAGUUUAAGGUGUACGCAAGUCAUUGGGUAUGUAGAAACCCAAAGGCGUAAUGAAAGUGAGAUGCAUAGUGUUGACGAUGUGAACGGCGGGCGUUUCGACGUUCACCGUGCAACAUCGCCCCGUGAUGAGGACUUGUCCUGUUGCGGAGGUUGAGCGUACGCUUUGAGACCCGAAAGAUGGUGAACUAUGCCUGAACAGGAUGAAGCCAGAGGAAACUCUGGUGGAAGUCCGAAGCGGUUCUGACGUGCAAAUCGA
rnacentral:rRNA from 1 species